GGAGAUAAUAUGAAAGGUAUGUGGAGAUACUAUGAGGGGUAGGUGGAGAUAAUAUGAGAGGUAGGUGGAGAUAAUAUGAGAGGUAGGUGGAGAUAAUAUGAGGGGAAGGUGUAGAUAAUAUGAGGGGAAGGUGGAGAUAAUAUUAGAGGUAGGUGGAGAUAAUAUGAGUGGUAGGUGGAGAUAAUAUGAGGGGAAGGUGGAGAUAAUAUGAGAGGUAUGUGGAGAGGGGUAGGUGGAGAUAAUAUGAGAGGUAUGUGGAGAGGGGUAGGUGGAGAUAAUAUGAGGGGUAGGUGGAGAUAAUAUGAGAGGUAGGUGGAGAUAAUAUGAGAGGUAGGUGGAGAUAAUAUGAGUGGUAGAUGGAGAUAAUAUGAGAGGUAGAUGGAGAUAAUAUGAGGGGUAGGUGGAGAUAAUAUGAGAGGUAGAUGGAGAUAAUAUGAGUGGUAGGUGGAGAUAAUAUGAGGGGUAGGUGGAGAUAAUAUGAGUGGUAGGUGGAGAUAAUAUGAGAGGUAGGUGGAGAUAAUAUGAGAGGUAGGUGGAGAUAAUAUGAAAGGUAGGUGGAGAUAAUAUGAAAGGUAGGUGGAGACAAUAUGAAAGGUAGGUGGAGAUAAUAUGAGAGGUAGGUGGAGAUAAUAUGAGGGGUAGGGGUAGAUAAUAUGAGAGGUAGGUGGAGAUAAUAUGAGAGGUAGGAGGAGAUAAAAUGAGAGGUAGGUGGAGAAAAUAUGAGAGGUAGGGGGAGAUAAUAUGAGAGGUAUGUGGAGAUAAUAUGAGAGGUAGGUGGAGAUAAUAUGAGAGGUAUGUGGAGAUAAUAUGAGGGGUAGGUGGAGAUAAUAUGAGAGGUAGGUGGAGAUAAUAUGAGAGGUAGGAGGAGAUAAUAUGAGGGGUAGAUGGAGAUAAUAUGAGGGGUAGGUGGAGAUAAUAUGAGAGGUAGGUGGAGAUAAUAUGAGAGGUAGGUGGAGAUAAUAUGAGGGGUAGGUGGAGAUAAUAUGAGAUAAUAUGUGUAAUUUCAUAGCAUGAAUGAUUUAAUCUCCCAAAGCCUGAUCUUUCCUGACAGUCGGCUCGGCUCCGAUGUCUCGCUCCAUUAUGCUUGUCAUUUUUAUUCCUUCAACCGGGUCGCUGCUCGGCUCUAUCAGACCAACGUGGUUGAAAUUGUCAGCAAGAGAAAGGCGUUGGUUCUCUCUUGAUAUCAACCAUCAGCCACACAGCCCAGCCUGAGGGGGGGGGGGGAGGGGAGGGAGAGAGAGAGAGAUGAGGGGGGGGGAGAGAGGGGGAGGAAAAGAGAGAGAGAGAUGAGGGGAAUAUAACAUUAACAAGACACAUGAGAGACAGUGAGCCUGAGUAUGCAUGUCUCUAGCCACCCUGACUGCCUGCCGCUGGCACAACCAUAGAAACAGGAGGAGAGGGAGGAGAGGGAGGAGAGGGAAGAGAGGGAGGAGAGGGAAGAGAGGGAGGAGAGGGAAGAGAGGGAGGAGAGGGAAGAGAGGGAGUAGAGGGAGUAGAGGGAGGAGAGGGAGGAGAGGGAAGAGAGGGAGGAGAGGGAGUAGAGGGAGUAGAGGGAGGAGAGGGAAGAGAGGGAGGAGAGGGAAGAGAGGGAAGAGAGGGAGGAGAGGGAAGAGAAUAAGGAGGAGAGAAGCCGAUGCUCUUGCUAUACUCCAGGGGAUGAAGAGGUGAGGUUUGUAGCUCUUUUCCUUUGUUGUCUGCUGCUGCCUCCCUUCCUUAGCCACACCCACAAAGCCAGCCAGCCAACCAGCUGCUGCUUCCCUUCCUUAGCCACACCCACAUAGCCAGCCAGCCAGCUGCUGCUUCCCUUCCUUAGCCACACCCACAUAGCCAGCCAGCCAGCCAACCCUAUGCUGCUUUCCUUCCUUAGCCACACCCACAUAGCCAGCCAGCCAACCAGCUGCUGCUUUCCUUCCUUAGCCACACCCACAUAGCCAGCCAGCCAGCCAACCAAAUGCUGCUUUCCUUCCUUAGCCACACCCACAUAGCCAGCCAGCCAGCCAGCUGCUGCUUUCCUUCCUUAGCCACACCCAC
ensembl:lncRNA